UAGCUUGCUAUUGUGCGUGGCGACCGGCGCACGGGUGAGUAACGCGUAUCCAACCUACCCCGCGGUCAGGGACAGCCCGGCGAAAGUCGGAUUAAUACCUGAUGCAGUCAGAAGAGGGCAUCUGAUUUUGACGAAAGAUUCAUCGCCUCGGGAUGGGGAUGCGUAGGAUUAGGCAGGCGGCGGGGUAACGGCCCGCCGCGCCGACGAUCCUUAGGGGUUCUGAGAGGAAGGUCCCCCACACUGGUACUGAGACACGGACCAGACUCCUACGGGAGGCAGCAGUGAGGAAUAUUGGUCAAUGGGCGCGAGCCUGAACCAGCCAAGUAGCCGUGCAGGAGGACGGCCCUAUGGGUUGUAAACUGCUUUUAUGCGGGGAUAAAGUGCGGCACGUGUGCCGUUUUGUAGGUACCGCAUGAAUAAGGACCGGCUAAUUCCGUGCCAGCCGCCGC
rnacentral:rRNA from 1 species